GCCUGGGUGCUCAGUCGGUUGAGCGUCUGCCUUUGGCGCAGGUCAUGAUCCCAGGGACCUGGGAUCGAGUCCCACAUCAGGCU
rnacentral:tRNA from 1 species